AGCGAACGCUGGCGGCAGGCCUAACACAUGCAAGUCGAACGAACUCUUCGGAGUUAGUGGCGGACGGUUGAGUAACACGUGGGAACGUGCCUUUAGGUUCGGAAUAACUCAGGGAAACUUGUGCUAAUACCGAAUGUGCCCUUCGGGGGAAAGAUUUAUCGCCUUUAGAGCGGCCCGCGUCUGAUUAGCUAGUUGGUGAGGUAAAGGCUCACCAAGGCGACGAUCAGUAGCUGGUCUGAGAGGAUGAUCAGCCACAUUGGGACUGAGACACGGCCCAAACUCCUACGGGAGGCAGCAGUGGGGAAUCUUGCGCAAUGGGCGAAAGCCUGACGCAGCCAUGCCGCGUGAAUGAUGAAGGUCUUAGGAUUGUAAAAUUCUUUCACCGGGGACGAUAAUGACGGUACCCGGAGAAGAAGCCCCGGCUAACUUCGUG
rnacentral:rRNA from 1 species